GGAUGAACGCUGGCGGCGUGCCUAAUACAUGCAAGUCGAGCGAAUGGAUUAAGAGCUUGCUCUUAUGAAGUUAGCGGCGGACGGGUGAGUAACACGUGGGUAACCUGCCCAUAAGACUGGGAUAACUCCGGGAAACCGGGGCUAAUACCGGAUAACAUUUUGAACYGCAUGGUUCGAAAUUGAAAGGCGGCUUCGGCUGUCACUUAUGGAUGGACCCGCGUCGCAUUAGCUAGUUGGUGAGGUAACGGCUCACCAAGGCAACGAUGCGUAGCCGACCUGAGAGGGUGAUCGGCCACACUGGGACUGAGACACGGCCCAGACUCCUACGGGAGGCAGCAGUAGGGAAUCUUCCGCAAUGGACGAAAGUCUGACGGAGCAACGCCGCGUGAGUGAUGAAGGCUUUCGGGUCGUAAAACUCUGUUGUUAGGGAAGAACAAGUGCUAGUUGAAUAAGCUGGCACCUUGACGGUACCUAACCAGAAAGCCACGGCUAACUACGUGCC
rnacentral:rRNA from 1 species